UGAGUAACACGUGGGUGAUCUGCCCUGCACUUUGGGAUAAGCCUGGGAAACUGGGUCUAAUACCGAAUAUUCCUUGCUGGCCGCAUGGUCUGGUGGGGGAAAGCUUUUGCGGUGUGGGAUGAGCCCGCGGCCUAUCAGCUUGUUGGUGGGGUGAUGGCCUACCAAGGCGACGACGGGUAGCCGGCCUGAGAGGGUGUCCGGCCACACUGGGACUGAGAUACGGCCCAGACUCCUACGGGAGGCAGCAGUGGGGAAUAUUGCACAAUGGGCGCAAGCCUGAUGCAGCGACGCCGCGUGGGGGAUGACGGCCUUCGGGUUGUAAACCUCUUUCAGUACCGACGAAGCGCAAGUGACGGUAGGUACAGAAGAAGCACCGGCCAACUACGUGCCAGCAGCCGCGGUAAUACGUAGGGUGCGAGCGUUGUCCGGAAUUACUGGGCGUAAAGAGCUCGUAGGUGGUUUGUCGCGUUGUCCGUGAAAACUCACAGCUUAACUGUGGGCGUGCGGGCGAUACGGGCAGACUGGAGUACUGCAGGGGAGACUGGAAUUCCUGGUGUAGCGGUGGAAUGCGCAGAUAUCAGGAGGAACACCGGUGGCGAAGGCGGGUCUCUGGGCAGUAACUGACGCUGAGGAGCGAAAGCGUGGGGAGCGAACAGGAUUAGAUACCCUGGUAGUCCACGCCGUAAACGGUGGGUACUAGGUGUGGGUUUCCUUCCUUGGGAUCCGUGCCGUAGCUAACGCAUUAAGUACCCCGCCUGGGGAGUACGGCCGCAAGGCUAAAACUCAAAGGAAUUGACGGGGGCCCGCACAA
rnacentral:rRNA from 1 species